CUUGCGGUGUACAUAAAGCACAGUUUACAGGAUAGGCUCAGCUGAUAGAUACUGCAACUUGGGAAGUACUAGCCUAAUAGUGUGUCAUUAAAUUGCUUUAAUAUAUUACAACUAGACUGAUAAAUCCUAUAUGCAUUAUAUAAAGCAAUGCCAAUGGCUUGUGUCCAGCUUGUAGUUUCCUGGUGUACACAGACCUUGACAGGGGCAGGUUUCAGACAAACACAUCACAUGUCUACACCCACACAGACACACAGACACACACAAUACAUGUGCACACACUACAAAACACACAACACCCAUAUUAUGUCACAUGUCUACACCCACAGACUGCCUGCACACAAUACAUGUGCUCACACACACAAUACAGAGUGCACACACUCACACAAUACAGAGUACACUCACAC